UAAUUUGUCAGACUAUUGGCUGAUGGAGCUGCUGCCCAGAACCUUUGCUCUCUGCUGAGGCCAGAGUCCUAUUAACCUUCCCGCUGAUGUCACCAGGCUGGGAAGCUGCUGGCUUCGGGACAGGUUUCCUCUAAGCAUGACAGUAGAUGAGGUGUGCACAGCCAGCCCUGGAGUAGGUGAGAGUCGUUCGAAUGUCAGGCUAGGUUCGGUUGUGCUGCAAUUAGUGCAAGUGCUUCUGAACUCUCAUGUCUGCUCCACAUAAAGAUGGAUCUAAGAGCGCGGGCAUCGUUCCCCACAGUCAUCUCUAUGCAGGUACGAGGGGAGCUCUUCUGGUGGUGCAGCCCAGCAGCCUUGACGAUGGGCGAAAAAAAACCCCAAAAAACUAUUUGAUAAAUGUCAAAAGAAAUAAAGUAAUCAGCUGAAAGCAAUUUGCUGAGCCGUGUAACCGCCUUGGGCUUACCAUUUUCCUUUAUUCAUUUAUCAUGAUAGACGCUUUCGGCCAAAAUACACAAAGCAGAGAAAUUGUUGACAUGUGGGGCCCAAGUAUAGAAAAUCUUUCAUUCCCGCCCCCGCCCCCUGCUCUGUGCACAAAAUAACUUUCCUUUUUUUUUUUUUUUUUGGGUUGUUUAUUUAAA